rnacentral:lncRNA from 1 species
UUACUCUUCACAGUUUGUGGCGCGCCAAUUCGGCUUUACACAGGCCGUUCCUGCUCCGGCCAAGUUUUUCACGGCUAAUACUGCCACUUAUCGCCCGCCUACCAAGAGUAUAGCUGACGCCGAUCAGAUUUCGACUAUGGGAAACUGUCUGCGGCGAUUUUUAAAUUGGUCAGCUUCAGGCCGAAUUAUACCGGAGUGUUAGGUUUUCGCUACGCUGUAAAUUGGGACAUCUUCCUCAAGAAAACCUUUGCCUCUGUUAUCUCGCAUGCACAUCGCAAGACUCGUUAUCCUCUCAGUACGUUAUUUCUUUUGAAAUUAAUUUCCUGCUUAUAAUUACUGCUACUUAUUUAUUUUUCAUUUGUAGCCCCUUUCCCAAUUAAGACUCAAUCGGAAGGCCUUGCCGAGCCAUCCAUAUCAGAAGAAAAAUCGGAAGAAGCUGCUGAAUCUCCGCCUCAUUCUUCUGUAAUGUCUUCUAUUCUAUUCCUCCUUUGUUCUUUCUAUUUUGAUGUUUGUAAUACUCACUUUACUUUCAUUGUCAGUCUAUACCCACUCCUUCAUCGGUCUCAACUUCAGAUAAGAGACCGAUUGAAAGUGUACAAGCUACUCCUCCGCCGACUUCGAAACGGCGUAAAUCAGUUGCUAAACGACAAUUUCGACAAGCCGAAGAUGCCUCUUCGGCUGACAUUUU